rnacentral:lncRNA from 1 species
AAAAAUGUAAUUUCAUGUCAACAUGGUAAUGGGAAGGUACUUUUCAGUAGACUAUAAAUUAUAUUCAGGAAGUUCUAAGGAGCAGAAUUUACAACAAGUACACCAGUUAAUGCAACAUACUGAAGAACACAUGGAAACCUAUUCAAGCAUUGCAAUGGAUAAAAACUAAUAUGCCCAACUGCUGCAGCGGAACAAUUAGUUGAUUCAAAUAAAGAAAGAUCCAAU